UCUGGGGAAGAGGGGUUUCCAACCCACUCUUAGGCUCCGCAAAACUGGCACACUCUCCUCCAGAGACCAGCCACCAGGAGGAGCAUCCAAGCUGGCGCUGCAGCAAGAGAGAGUCUGGGCAGACACAAGGAAGAACUUUCUGCCCCUGAGGGAACGUUCAGCUCAGAGAAGGAAGGGGAAUCUCGUAAAGUACUAUGCUCUCUCGGGCUCCCAUGACAAUCAUUUCAAGCAGCUAAUGAGUUUCAGAUGGCCUUCAGGAGCCCGGGACGGAUGGAAGCUGGGGGUAAAGACCCGGGAGCAUUAUAUGAAAGCAUCGAGCCCUUCCUAAGGCCAAGAAGUCAUCACUCACCUGCUGAUAGAAGCAUCUUUGCAAGAGACCGAAAUAAUCCUUGUCAGAAUCUACAUCUUCUGUAACUGUCGCUGUCCAGGAAAAUGGGAGAAAAGCCCUGGGGCUCGCUGUGGUGCCAUCUGACUCCGGCCGGUGCCGCACUGCCUGACCCCAAACGGGGCUGGCUGUGCCGCAUGCUGACCCGGGGACCCCCAGCACUGUGCCAGGACGGCUCAGCCAGCCCGCAGCUCCUUCCCAGCACCACUCCCUCCCUUUGGAGCACUCGUGUGCCUGCAGUUGGCCUGGGACCCCUGAGGGACCCACUAUGACCUCAAGGGGAGUUUGGGAGACCAGAGGCACAGGAGGGGUUGCCCAGGCUCUUAUUUCCGUGGCGUUCGGAGAGCCCGGGAGGCAGCCGGUGCCCAGAACCUGGCCAGGAUUACACAGUGGGUUCUGUGGCGUUCUCCCCCCGGCUGUUGGGGGACUUCCGCUGCUUUUAAGGUCUAAUUUCGGGAUCCACUUAAGUGAGCAGAACAUUGAGAAAGGCACAGCAGUGCAUUUCAGAAGAACUCACACUGCGCAGCCCACCGAGGCCAUUUGUGUCCAGGAAUUUGGGGGGACAACUCUGCCACGGGAUGUGUACAGUCUCAGGUUGGGAGGGGGUCUCUCCUGGCAAGGGAGAGCAAACCUUAUAAUUAAGGAACUUUGCCGUUUCCUUGAAGACAUCCACAGCAACCACCGCGUCCUCCCCGUUGCCUAAACAGGACAAAUCCCGGGUUAAGCAGUUCCUGGUGGUCCGCUCUCACACAUGUGCAGAGGGAGGAAAAAAACCCCGCCUGGAAGCUGGCCUCCCUGCUUCCCAGCAGCAGCCGCCUCCCUCGCCCUGCCUCGCCGCCCCCCCCUCGCAAUUAAGGGUAAUCUUUUGUUGCCUGGAAAGUGUAAAAAUCGCUGGCUUUUCUUUUUGCAUGCAUAAUAUCAUUUCCCCUCCAAGUGCGUUAUUUGGUUUGGGAAUUACAUCUAUUUACAAGAGUAGAUGUUGCACAAAGGUUGUGUUUAUGUGGAAAAUUAUAUCGGUGACACGGGCUGAUUGGCAUGUGGAGGCUGGGAGAGCAGGCCGAAGAGGCCUUCUCAUCAGCUUGGAAUAACAAAAUGAUUGUAUUUUCAGCAAAGCUAAUUGAUCACAUACCUCGCUGGGCUAUCUGUUUACUCAAAGGCCGGCCAGGCCCUGGGAAGGUGGAGAAGAGAGAGCCCCGGGGCAGUGGUCACCGCCAGACCCAGCCAGCCUUCCAAGGUGCUGAGGUGCAGGGCCAAGACGAGGGCAUGGGACAGGUCAUGGGGUCAUGCGGUCGGACGGAGAGGUGGGCUGACCCUCCUCGGGAAACCAGGCCCGGGACCUGAAGCUGGCGGACUGUGCCCUUCCCCCAGGACCCCGGAAGUCAGCGUGAGAUGCAGAAGGUGACGAAGGGCAAGUUAGAGUAGGAUCGGGGCCACUGCAAAGAAAAAUGAGCUCAUUCCCUUCCUCUCUUCCGUUUGGGAAGCUGACCCAAGAAGGGCUUUUCAGCUGGUGCUGAGCUGGCUGUGCAGGGCCUCUUGGGAGUGAAAGCUCUGGAAACCUGGCUGAGAAGAUCUGCCUUGACUGAGGGGGCUCUGUGGCUUUUCAGGGCUGUCUUUGCCCACUCUGGGGAGCUCUCCAUCAGGGCCUGAGCUGCGAGGCUAAAUGGGAGAGACAGCUUGCAGGAGUUUGGGGAUGUGGCCGAGGACUGCAUUCAGCUUCCAAACCCACCAGCGGGGAACCUGAGCCCAACGCUCUCUGACACCCUCCCAGAACAAAGACCCUGCUUCUGGCCUUUGGGGAAGGAGGUGCUUAUCCAUAGGCUUGUGACCAGCCUUUCUGGGCCCAUGGGACGAAUCAGUGUGUGAAAGGCCUCCUAAAGAGAGAUUAACUUGCCCAAACUGACCCGAAGAGGCCAGGCCUCCGGGCCACUCUUCAGUCACCUCAGAAAGCACAGGGCUGGAAUUCCAUUUCCUCCCUAGCGUUACAGCUCCAGUUGUGUGGGGGAAGAGAACAGAAGAGUUGGAUACAGUUAAGCAAGAGCUUUUAUUGAAAAUGACCAAUUACUCUAAAAACGACUUGCUGAGAAUUAGUCAGGGAACUGAUUAAUUCACCACUCACUUUGCAAACACAAAGUACCUUUGAAAACCACCCUUUAAAAAUAAUCUGUCAUCCCCGCAUAUUAGGACGAUGGCUGGUUAUUUCACAAACUUCCAGUUGGAGUCAGUCAAGUUACUAGUCGAUCCUUUACACACGACUAGGCACAAGCACCAGCCCCUGGUUUGACGCGUUCCAACUGUGGUCUGCUCUCCUUGUUGCUAAUCAGUCUCGUAUUUAGUUAACAUUUCCUAAAACAAGGAUCAAGAAAUCUUUGGGAACCAUCAAUAAGGAGGAAUCCAAAAUUCCUGAAUGACCACUGAACCCAACAGCAUUGUUUUAUAAAUGGGUAGAGGGAAGGCCGGCUUACUCCAGCCUCUGCUGAUCCCAGCUGGUGAUAGAGUAACCAGGUUUGUGGAUGAGUUGGGGGUCCUUGGAUCGGGUGAUACUGCAAAAACUCCAGGUACUUUUUCUCCAAGCUCAGCCACGAGGUUUUCCCCUUCUAUCGAGGGAUGAGCUCCGCAAGCCCUGAUUUAGAAAUCUAUUCCCAGUGGCACUGUGUAUGUACGUCUGAUUAUCUGUCCACCAUUGCAUUUCAAAACCUCCAGCCCUUCCGAAAAGACAAGCAGCUUAUUAAUGUGGCGCUCUUGGAAUUGUUUUUUAAUUGGAAACAUUUUGCAGUGAAAGAACAUUAAUAAAACCUG